rnacentral:misc_RNA from 1 species
UUUUGUUGUUUGUUUUUACCCCAAUUUCUUGUGGCAUAUAACAUUUUAGAACACCUUCUUUUGCCAUUUCUUUUGAUUUUUGGCAUUUCAACACUUGCCAAUUUUUCAACUUUUGUAUUUUCUUUUGAACGUUUUCAAAGUCACCCCAAUUAGUAACGAGGGUGGCUUAUAUUUGAAGCAUAGGAGUUUUUAUUUUUUUUACUCCUCUUUUCUUUUGAUGCAAUUUGCAAACUUUUUCUUUUCUUUUCUUGAACUCAAAUUUGAACAAUUUCUUUUGUGCCCAUUCCCUUUUUAUGACAAAAUAUAUGGUAGAACAUGGAUGAAUGAUGGUUGCAUGGUUUCAAGGGUCACCUUGGAAUAAACGGUAGCCAAUGAGUUAUCACACCACAAGGUACGCUUGACUAGGCCUUAAUCCAUGGGUCAAAGGAUACUAGCAUGACACAUCCUAGGGUGUUUUACAAGUAUUCUAAUGAGCAAAGUCUUACGAAGAAAAAGUAUCUACAAGGGCCUUAUAUACACUUGUCAAGCUUCCAAAUAGAUGUUUUCACAAAUUUUUUUCCUAAAUGCAACUAUAUGCCAUGAUGGAAUUAGCAUUUAUACAACCUAAUGCAUAUGCUUCUACCAACUAGUAUGCCAAAUAAUCUAAAUGCAAUCCUAUAAUCACAUUGUUUAUACCACAUCAAUCAAAAUAAAGCCACAUAGUCAUGAACAUAAAGAGUUAAAAAGGAGAUUGGAAAGGUCAUACCAUGCGGUCUUCAAUAUCCUCAUGUCUCGGAUGUGGCAUAGUCGAUCAAUUUGAAGAAGGAUAAACAAAUAAGCAAACAAACAACUAUAUACAAUAUAUACAAUUAUAAACUAUAAAGGAAAUGAUCAUGUUUUUGGGUUUUUGCAUUUUUCAAAUUUUUAUGGUUUUUUUUGUUUAUGAAAUAAAAAGACAUGUUUUUGUAUUUUUUCAAAUAAUUUCAAUUUAUCAUUUUUGUUUUAAAAGUCAUGUUAGAAUUUUCCAUCCCCACACAAGUAUGGGCAUUGUCCUCAAUGGCCAAUACGAUAGGAAAUUAUGCAAGCUAUAUGAAAAUGCAUGAUUUCUAUACUAAAUGCAAACUAUAUGACAUAUAAACAAGUGAAUGCAUUCUAAACUAUACUAUAUGAUGCAUGAAUUUGUUUGGUUGGAGAGCAUAAUUUGAAUUAACUCCUAAUGCUUAUGUUUGAACUUCCUCUAACCAAAUGAGACACUAUUGCUAAUGUAAAAAAUAAGAAAGUUCAUGCACAAGAAUGCUGUGCAUGAAACUAAAUUUGUCAUUUUGGAUUUUACAUGUGGGAACAAUUAAUUUAACACCACCCAAAUGUUGCCUAGGUGGAAUAGUAGUCCUUCUUUUUAUGAGGACACCCA